GAUGAACGCUGGCGGCGUGCUUAACACAUGCAAGUCGAACGGAAAGGCUCCUGCUUGCAGGGGUACUCGAGUGGCGAACGGGUGAGUAACACGUGGGAGAUCUGUCCUGCAAUUCGGGAUAAGCCUGGGAAACUGGGCCUAAUACCGGAUAGGACGAUGGUUGGGAUGCCAUUGUGGAAAGUUUUUCGGUGUGGGAUGAGCUCGCGGCCUAUCAGCUUGUUGGUGGGGUAAUGGCCUACCAAGGCGUCGACGGGUAGCCGGCCUGAGAGGGUGUACGGCCACAGUGGGACUCAGAGACGGCCCAGACUCCGACGGAAGGCAGCAGUGAGGAAUAGUACACAAUGGGCGCAAGCCUAAUGCAGCGACGCCGCAUGAGGAAUGACGGCCUUCGGGUUGUAAACUCCUUUCGCUACGGACCAAGCGCAAGUGGCAGUACCUGGAGAAGAAGCACCGGCUAACUACGUG
rnacentral:rRNA from 1 species